rnacentral:lncRNA from 1 species
UAGUUUAAAUUAUGAAACCCUAACCCGUGUAUUCCCUUAUUCGUCAAUCCUUGUUUCUUUCUGCACUAACUUAAUGACUUAUGAUGUUGAGUUGUACUGUUUGUUUAUUGCUUUACUCAACAUGCUUACAAUUCUAUCCUUCUUUGUUAAAUUGUGAUCAACAUAUUUACUUGUUCCCGUUUAGGUCCUUCAACUAGAAUGUCUAUAAUGUACCUAAUUCAUCACUAAUUGUGUGUUUCUGAUUUGGGUCCUCUAUGUCUCCAACCCCUAAUCCCCUUUUUCUAACUGCUGAAGCAUGUAAUAUCUUUGAAAUGGUUUUGUGUGUGUUGUUGUUGCUCCAACACCUUUUCCCUUUCAAAACUAUUUUAUUAGGCAAUUGUUCUGUUGUUUACAUACUCACUUCAAACAUGUUGUUUCUAAAACUAUUUUCCAACUCAACUCCUUUGAGUCUAUGUAAAGCACUCUCGCAUACACUCUUAGAUAUAGGUUCUGCCCAUCUUGUGCCAGCCUUGCUUUGGGACCCUUGAGCUCCCUCAGAACCUGAACAUAUAAGGGCUGGCUCUUGCACUCUGCACUUAUUUUUGGUUGUGCUAUCUGGGUGUGAGCACUUCUCGGGAUCCCUUGAGGUCUUUAGGAAUCACUGACAUACGCAGGUAUGAGAAUGGAUUUGGAAUAGUAUUAACAUUUGAAGUUAUUUAUUAUAUAACUCAUAGUGGAAGUCAGGAUAAGUCUUCCUAUGGUUGUAACUUUUUAUUUUUGCAUUUUUUCUUAUGUUAUUCAAUCACAUGGUUUGUAAUAGUUUGUUAAAUAAGUAUUGGGGUGGCUAGUGAAAAUGUUUGGGGAAAUAUGCAUGUAAUAGUUGGCAAAGGGUAGAAAACAUGUUAUUCGAUUUAUAUUCAAAGUUGUACAAUACAAAUCAUGUUUAGGAUUCAUAUAAUGCAAUAGAAAUCAUGUUUAGGAUUCAUACAAUGCAUUGGAAAUCAUGCUCUUAGGAUUCAGGUUUCCUGCUUUAGCAUCUCAUUCAUUAAGCUAUGCUUCGUGUCCAUCACGUAGAAAUCCUACUUCUAUGAUGAAUAAUGAAGAAGAUGUUACUCAUGAAGUCAUUUCUUAAUAAUUCUGCAACUCUUUCGUAUAUUUUAAAACAACGUCUUACGAACUCUGCCAUCUACAUGUGCAUAUUAGAUACCAUGUUCUAGGAUCCUAUUUGUAUUUUGUUUAAAAAUGCCUAGUUAAUUACUGAUUCAUGUAAUAGGUAGUAAGGUAUCAGUUUUUUACAUUGUGAAGUCUCUGAAUAACUGGUAAUAAUCUCUGCAACUAGAACAAUAUGUUUUAGGUAAUAAUAAGCUCAAAACUAUCUUAGAAAGUCUGAAUAACUACUGAAUAUUCCUUACGCCUAAGAAAGCCUUUGGCAAUUAGUUAAAUAAAACUAGAACUUCCUUUUCUUAAUUAUAGACAAUCACAACCAGCAGGAAGGCCUGAUUCAGACUUCUUUCUUAGUCAUGUGAUAAAUCUGGUUCUAAAUUAAACACCCUGCUUAGGAUUUUAAAUUCAG